GUGUGUGUGUGUGUGUGUGUGUGUGUUCUUGUAUUCCUAUACUUAUGGGGACAUUGAUCUGUUCACACAGUCACGCCGUGGGGACCUCUGACAGUAUGGGGACCAAAAUCGAGGUCCCCAUGAGGGAAAGUGCUUUAAAUGACUUCAGGAGUCAAUCUGAAGGUGCCAGUGUGUUUUUUUUGUUUUUUUGGUUUUGGCCCAUAAUUCACAAUUUUCUGUCGGGUCACACACACACACACAUUUCUCACUAUCGCCCCCUAAGGAUCCCGGUUGGUAUUGCACUUGAUAGUUCACACACACCACUACCAAAUAUGGUAUGUACCGCCCCUUCCUUGUCCCCAUGAAGUAUGUAUUCAAAUACUAAGAACUUUUUUCAGUGUUAGUCAACAAUUAGGCUAUUGGAAACGUUUAUUUGCAACAGAUGCCAACUACAGUGCUAAGAAUUAUACUUUUUUAAUUACAUUUUAAUUAAAAUGUAUUUAUUCAAUACAAAAUGCAGCUUAUAGGAAUUGCUUUAUAAUUAAUUGAGUGCUGGAUUGAAAUAAUAUAUUUCUUGAUCUAGUAAAAGCAAUAAAACAUGGCUUCUUAUUAGUGAAUUAGCAUUUAUAGAUAUGAUAUUUUGCCAUAACAAUAAUAAGAUUAAUCAUAUAUUCCCGAUUGUUGUCUUAGAUUCAAUAGAUUGUUGUCUUAUUGUCUAAGAGUCCAAACAAUACAUUUUUCCAAUGCUAGUAAGAGGCUUGUGACUUUGGCCGUUUGCUUUUAAUGUGAAAUCAGACAGGAAGUCAAAUGUACCUUCAGGUUCAACCUCAGCCUAGAAGAAGAGCCUUUUAUCUCUGUGAAACCGUCGAAUUUGAUGCAUAUUAAGGAUUUACCCGGAGCAAGUGGCGUGUACAUUUGAAAUGCCACCAAGAAUCAGUCCCCUCACAGAUGCCUGUCACCAUGUCGGUUUAAAGACUGACAAUACAUGGAAACUGGAGGUGAAGUACAUCAAUGCAGUAAAAGGGCGUGGGGUGUUCGCCAUAGGUUCAUUCUCCAAAGGAGAUUUUAUAGUGGAAUGCAGGGGAGAUUUGAUAAGCGAUAGUGAAGCUCAAAAGAGAAGAAGAAAUUAUAACCCUGCAUGUUCUGGAUUUUUGUUCGCGUUCAAGUUGGGAGGCAAAACAUGGUGCAUUGACGCCUCUAGAGAAGAUGGUUCCUUCGGCCGCUUGGUGAACGAUGACCACAGACAUCCCAAUGCCAGGAUGAAGAGAAUAGACAUUGCAGGAAGCACACACCUCUGUCUCUUUGCUCUCCAAGACAUAAAAGAAGGUGAAGAAAUUGCAUAUAAUUAUGGAGGAGAGGACUGCCCAAGCAGGUACGUGUUACAACUAGUGUUAAGGUAUAUACAAUUCAAGAAUGUCUUGGAAUAACUUAAUGAUUGAUGGUAUCUUUUCUUUGAAACUAUAUAAAUCAAUUUCAAUAAAUGAUAAUUUUUUCUAUUGUAUAUUAAAACAUUGGAUAUUCAGGAGGCAUCUGAAUCAGGGCCAAAUGUCACUGUAGUCUGGGACGUUCCCGACGUCCCCACAAUACAUCUUGUAUGGUUUUGUUUCAGUGAAACUUUAUGUUAAGUAUCUGAUAAAGGAGAACGUACAGGUGUGCGAAAUUCAACACAGUUAAUUCAACAUGUGUGAAAUGUCCCCACUAGGCAUAGUCUAUGUGACAGCAGACAGGUUGACAAAGCAGGACAAAAUAUGACCAUAGAAUCCUUUCUCGCUAGUUUGGUGUGUGGGGAUGUAUUUGACCCAAGAGACAUGUCCUUUAGAAAAUGUAUUAAAAUAAUAUAAUAUUAUGCAGUGUUUACAUGAAAUUGACUGAUUUACUUUUUGUAUCAAAUUGCAGAUGACUACAUGUGAACCUGAGACGUCCUGUGUGAGCUCCCAGUCUGUGCUCAUGUCAGAGCCACAGUGGGAUGAAGCUGCCUGGUUAGAGGACACUGGUCACCAGAUGACUACAUGUGAACCUGACACGCCCUGUGUGAGCUCCCAGUCUGUGCUCAUGUCAGAGCCACAAUGGGAUGAAGCUGCCUGGUUAGAGGACACUGGUCAACAGGUAAUUCAUGUCCAUCACUUAAUGUUUUCCUCUAGUGUCUUCUAGUUACCUUUGAUGUCUUCUGUUGUCUACUUUAAGCAGGUAAAUGAAAAGAAUCCGAUAAUUAUGAGGGGAAUCUAUUAUACAUCAGGUCUGCCAAACAGUUUUCUGUAAUGCUUGUAUAAGGCUAAUGAUUAAGGGAUAUGUUGGACACAUCUAAACCUUGUUGAGUAAUUUUCCCGGGGCAAAAUGUCACUGUAAUCUGGGACAUUCACGACGUCCCCACAAUGCACCUUUUAUGGUUUUGUUUCAGUGUUAUGUUAUGUUAAGUGUUUGAUAACCGAGAACGUACAGGUGUGUGAAAUGUCCCCACUCAGCAGGGUUUAUUCAAGAUGUGUGAAAUGUCCCCACUACGCAUAGUCUAUUUGACAGCAGAGAGAGGUUGACAAAGCAGGACAAAAUAUGACGCUAGAAUUCUUUCUCACUAGUCUGCUGUGUUGGCAUGUAUUUGAUCCAAGAGACAUGUCUUUUAGAAAAUGUCUUAAAAUAAUAUAAUAUUAUGCAGUGUUUACAUGAAAUUGACUGAUUUACUUUUUGUAUCAAAUUGCAGAUGACUACAUGUGAACCUGACACGCACUGUGUGAGCUCCCAGCCUGUGCUCAUGUCAGAGCCAAAGUGGGAUGAAGCUGCCUGGUUAGAGGACACUGGUCACCAGAUGACUACAUGUGAACCUGACACGCCCUGUGUGAGCUCCCAGUCUGUGCUCAUGUCAGAGCCACAAUGGGAUGAAGCUGCCUGGUUAGAGGACACUGGUCAACAGGUAAUUCAUGUCCAUCACUUAAUGUUUUCCUCUAGUGUCUUCUAGUUACCUUUGAUGUCUUCUGUUGUCUACUUUAAGCAGGUAAAUGAAAAGAAUCCGAUAAUUAUGAGGGGAAUCUAUUAUACAUCAGGUCUGCCAAACAGUUUUCUGUAAUGCUUGUAUAAGGCUAAUGAUUAAGGGAUAUGUUGGACACAUCUAAACCUUGUUGAGUAAUUUUCCCGGGGCAAAAUGUCACUGUAAUCUGGGACAUUCACGACGUCCCCACAAUGCACCUUUUAUGGUUUGGUUGAUAACGGAGAACGUACAGGUGUGUGAAAUGUCCCCACUCAGCAGGGUUUAUUCAAGAUGAGUGAAAUGUCCCCACUAGGCAUAGUCUAUUUGACAGCAGACAGAGGUUGACAAAGCAGGACAAAAUAUGAGAGUAGAAUUCCUUCUCACUAGUCUGGUGUGUGGGCAUGUAUUUGACCCAAGAGGUAGAACAUUUAUUAAAAGAAUAAAAUAUUAUGCAGUGUUUACAUUAAAUUGACUGAUUUACUUUUUGUAUCAAAUUGCAGAUGACUACAUGUGAACCUGACACGCCCUGUGUGAGCUCCCAGUCUGUGCUCAUGUCAGAGCCACAAUGGGAUGAAGCUGCCUGGUUAGAGGACACUGGUCAACAGAUGACUACAUGUGAACCUGACACGCACUGUGUGAGCUCCCAGCCUGUGCUCAUGUCAGAGCCAAAGUGGGAUGAAGCUGCCUGGUUAGAGGACACUGGUCACCAGAAGAGGAAACUGUUGGAGGCACGGAGGGGGAAUAAAAUCCCAGCAAAACAGAGACGCAAACUGCCACCAGCAGAAGAUGGAGCAUCUUUUCCAGUCUGUGCUGUGAGCCAUGUUCUUCCAAAGGCUGCAGGAAUCGGUCUGUUUCUUUUCUUUGUAAACUGACUCGAUUGCAGCUUUUCUGCACCACCGCCUGGUCUCGUCUGCUUUCUAGGUGAGGCGUAGUUCCUCUUGCGUGUUUCAACUAACCUAUUUGUUUGUCCCUGUGAUGACGUUAAUUUUCAUGGCUACUUGGAUGCAUGUUAAUGCAGGAGUCAACCAACAGACUGAGAGUGGAACACUCCAAUCAAUCAUUUUUUUUAUAGCACCUUUCAUACAGUUAGUGCAGUUCAAAGUGCUUCACAGAUGGCUGAGAAAGCAGAUAAUAGGACAUAUAUUAAUUGAAGAUGAAAGAAAGAUUGCAGACAAAGGAAUUAUGACAAGAAAAUUAUAAUGUUAAAUAAGAAAAAGAAAGCUGCCAUAAUAUCGAAGACAUAAUGCUACUGUUGCUAAAAAACAAAAAUAAGGAAUUAAUAUUAUAGUCUCUAAAUGAAAGUGUGUGGCAUGUAAUACAAUAAAAGUUUUUAGUUGACACUUUACAAUAAGGUGUACUAAUGAGCAGAUCACUGAGGAUUGUUGAUGCAGGACAUGAAACUUAUAGGAACUGUAUCUCCUUCCUGAUACUUUCAUGUAAACAUCUGUUUUUCUACUCAUUUACAGGAAAGGCUCCACUCAAAAGGGAACCAUGGCAGCCAGCAGAGAUAAAGGCCGUCGAGAGGCACAUAAAGGCUUUAAUACAUGCUUGCACUGUGCCAAAAAUGUCUAACUAAACUAAAUCUGUAGGUGGCGAAGAAGUUAAAGCUGCGUCACGCUUUGAACUAAACACUUUUUCCAUCUAGUGUCGACUGGGUUUUUGGAUUGUCGGUGCCAUUAAAGUAGCAUUAAUAAUCGUCGUAAUAAUCCUAACGAUUAUUAAUGCUACUUUAACGGCAUAGACAUUCCAAAAACCCAGUCGACACUAGAUGGAAAAAGUGUAUAGAACAAAACGUGAUGCAGCUUCCCUUUUUUUCUUCGCAACCUACAGACUUUGUUAUGUACGAUUAUUCAAACACGCCAUGUUAUUUAAUAUAGACAUUUGACCGAGGGAAACGGAGCCUCAGAGGUCGAACUUAUUCUCUCGAGGUCUAUGUGACUUCCAUUUAUAUUGUGACUAUUCUGUAUCUUGAUGCCUCUUCCUGGCCCACAAGGAUACACCAGCAGGUUCUGACAUGUAUUAACCGCACUCUGAUGGCUCGAGUCUGUGCGUGAUGUGUGUCUAUGCUAAUGUAUGUAUGUGCUGGUAUACUUUUAAAAAUAAAGUAUCAAUGCAUCUAAUUCUCCAUCCGUCUCUGGUGCUAUUUACUGUGGACCCACACCUGUUUGGGAGAUCCCUCCCAUGUGUGAGGGUGGCAUCGAUGGUGUUGGUAAAAUAAAAACCCAUACACACACAUAGUGCACGGUAAUAUCAUGAAAUAAGUUGGUAUCACGCCACAUAUAGAUGGUGGAUGGCCAAGAGGAACAUUUGCAGAGGGCAUGGCCGCCCCUGGUUCCAGGGGCUCUCGGAAAUUGAGAGGUUAAAACACCUUGGCCCUCUGGCUAUACUCUAUAUACUCUCCUCGGGCUAUAUAUAUUUAUGUACAAUCAGGUCCCCAUUAGUCACCAAAUAAUCUGUGUGAAAUAUUCUAAUUUAUGUAAAUGAUGUCCCCUGAAAGCAUGUUUACUGGUUCUUCCGGAAGUCCCCAUAAAGCCUGGUUAAACCAUCACAAAACUCUGAAACAUCAUUUCAGAGUUUUGAAGUUGUGUAUAGGUUAACUAAGCUAUGGCAAGUUUACUGAAUUUUUUUCAGCUCUCUACAACCUCUGGAAAGGGUGGUCCUCACAAGUGAUGAUUAUAAAGGUCGUCCUCAUGAGUGAUGAAAACCAGUAUGUGUGUGUGUGUGUGUGUGUGUGUGUGUGUGU